CACGAUCCGUUGGGGUGCCCUGUGAGGGGGCUGAGAGGCGUAGCCAACCCAUCGAACCUGAUCCGGACAAUGCCGGCGGAGGGAACGGAGCAUGACCGAAG
rnacentral:ncRNA from 1 species